GUGCCAGCAGCCGCGGUAAGACGAACCGUCCAAACGUUGUUCGGAAUCACUGGGCUUAAAGGGCGCGUAGGCGGGUGAGCAAGUCUAUGGUGAAAUCCUCCGGCUUAACCGGAGAACUGCCGUGGAUACUGCCCAUCUCGAGGAGGAUAGGGGCAUCUGGAACUAGCGGUGGAGCGGUGAAAUGCGUUGAUAUCGCUAGGAACUCCGGUGGCGAAGGCGAGAUGCUGGAUCCUUUCUGACGCUGAGGCGCGAAAGCCAGGGGAGCGAACGGGAUUAGAUACCCCAGUAGUCC
rnacentral:rRNA from 1 species